GAGGGCCUAGUAAAUUAAUUACAUAGUUCUGUCAGCACUAAAUUAUGGGAAUCAAUAAACCCAUGGCCCUCA
rnacentral:tRNA from 1 species